UUCUGGUUGAUCCCGCCAGACCUGACUGCUAUCGGAUUGAUACUAAGCCAUGCGAGUCGUUGUAGCAAUACAAGGCAUACGGCUCAGUAACGCGUAGUCAACCUAACCUAUGGACGGGAAUAACCUCGGGAAACUGAGAAUAAUGCCCGAUAGAACAUUAUGCCUGGAAUGGUUUAUGUUCCAAAUGAUUUAUCGCCAUAGGAUGGGACUGCGGCCUAUCAGUUUGUUGGUGAGGUAAUGGCCCACCAAGACUAUUACAGGUACGGGCUCUGAGAGGAGUAGCCCGGAGAUGGGUACUGAGACACGGACCCAGGCCCUAUGGGGCGCAGCAGGCGAGAAAACUUUGCAAUGUGCGAAAGCACGACAAGGUUAAUCCGAGUGAUUUCUGCUAAAGAGAUCUUUUGUUAGUCCUAGAAACACUAACGAAUAAGGGGUGGGCAAGUUCUGGUGUCAGCCGCCGCGGUAAAACCAGCACCUCAAGUGGUCAGGAUGAUUAUUGGGCCUAAAGCAUCCGUAGCCGGCUCUGUAAGUUUUCGGUUAAAUCUGUACGCUCAACGUACAGGCUGCCGGAAAUACUGCAGAACUAGGGAGUGGGAGAGGUAGACGGUACUCGGUAGGAAGUGGUAAAAUGCUUUGAUCUAUCGAUGACCACCUGUGGCGAAGGCGGUCUACCAGAACACGUCCGACGGUGAGGGGUGAAAGCUGGGGGAGCAAACCGGAUUAGAUACCCGGGUAGUCCCAGCUGUAAACUAUGCAAACUCAGUGAUGCAUUGGCUUGUGGCCAAUGCAGUGCUGCAGGGAAGCCGUUAAGUUUGCCGCCUGGGAAGUACGUACGCAAGUAUGAAACUUAAAGGAAUUGGCGGGGGAGCACCACAAGGGGUGAAGCCUGCGGUUCA
rnacentral:rRNA from 1 species